rnacentral:rRNA from 1 species
GGAGCCGGGAGAUGGACACUGAGACAAAGGUCCAGGCUCUACGGAGUGCAGCAGUCGCGAAACCUUCGCAAUGCGCGCAAGCGUGACGAGGGAACCCCAAGUGCGCAUAUACAAUAUGUGCUUUUUUUAAGUCUAAAACACUUGGAGAAUAAGGGCUGGGUAAGACUGGUGCCAGCCUCCGCGGUAACACCAGCAGCUCAAGUGGUGAUCGCGUUUACUGGGUUUAAAGCGUGCGUAGUCGGUUCAGCAAGUCUUCUGUGAAAUCCUCAGGCUUAACUUGAGGGAUUGCAGAGGAUACUACUGGGCUCGAGACCGGGUAAGGAGUGAGGUAUUCUGGGGGUAGCGGUGAAAUGCUAUAAUCCCUGGAGGACCACCCGUAGCGAAGGCGUCACUCUGGAACGGGUCUGACGACGAGGUACGAGAGCUAGGGGAGCGAACAGGAUUAGAUACCCUGGUAGUCCUAGCCGUAAACGAUGCAGAUUUAGUGUUCCUCAAACCUCGUGUUCGAGGAGCGCUGAAGGGAAACCGUUAAAUCUGCCACCUGGGGAGUACGGUCGCAAGGCUGAAACU